AAUAAUAAAAGAGAGAGGCCAUUUAUUCAAGAGAAAUGGUCUCUCUUUUUUUUAUAAUUAUUUUUAAAAAAUAAAACCUUUGAUAAGAUCUAAUAAAAAAUGGAGUAAAAAUAUAUAAACCGGUGAAAACCCUAACUCCAUCCUUAUGCUCAUCAGCCGCCACCCUUCUCUCUCCAGUUUCAUUUCGAUCUGAUUUUCCUCCUCAAUUAUUUCUAGAUCUCUCCAAGUUUCAUUCAUCAUGCCGUCCGUUUACGCCGAUCGUAUGAUUACAUUCGAGGAUUCUGAGAAGGAGAGCGAGUACGGUUACAUUUGUAAGAUCUCUCCAAGUUUCAUUCAUCAUGCCGUCCGUUUACGCCGAUCGUAUGAUUACAUUCGAGGAUUUUGAGAAGGAGAGCGAGUACGGUUACAUUUGUAAGAUCUCUCCAAGUUUCAUUCAUCAUGCCGUCCGUUUACGCCGAUCGUAUGAUUACAUUCGAGGAUUCUGAGAAGGAGAGCGAGUACGGUUACAUUUGUAAGGAUAAAAAGUGUAAUCAAAGAAGAUUGAUGAUUUUGCUUGUUGAAUGGUUCGAUUGGCAAGAUGUUGCACAAGAUCUGUCAAGAACACCAUUGUUUUUAGUAUUUUUUUUUUACAAUAGUAUGGGUUUUGUACGUAGUAUAAUAUUUUGCAAGUAUAUUGAUGAUUAUUAUCCAAAUAAUAUGGGUCUUGUACCGUUGUACGUAGUAUAACUUUUAGUAUGAGUUAUGUAUAAAUUUUAACAAGUACGAACUACUUGUAUUUCGUUGUAAA